GGGGAUGUAGCUCAGUGUAUAGAGCGCAUGCUUUCUAUGUAUGAGGUCCUGGGUCAAAUUCAAUCCCCAGCAUCUCCA